rnacentral:misc_RNA from 1 species
AACGCACAUUGCGCCCUUCUGGUUUUUACGAAGGGUAUGCCUGUUUGAGUGUCAUGAAUCCAUCAACAUAGACAAGCUUUGUCUUGUACUAUGCUUGUAUGAAUGAAGGUUGCUGGAAUUCUUCAGCUCCUUUUAAAUUGAUUAGCGAGAAUGCUUUUUCAGCUCUGGUUUGAUAACUUUUUCUAUGCCUUUGCUGAUGUCGCCACUCUCGCUUCUAAUUGUCCCUUGGGACUGUCGUUUUAGACAACUCUUGACUUUUGACCUCAAAUCAGGUAGGACUACCCGCUGAACUUAA